UACGUAGGGUGCGAGCGUUGUCCGGAAUUACUGGGCGUAAAGAGCUCGUAGGCGGCUUGUCGCGUCGACUGUGAAAACCCGGGGCUCAACUCCGGGCCUGCAGUCGAUACGGGCUGGCUUGAGUGCGGUAGGGGAGACUGGAAUUCCUGGUGUAGCGGUGAAAUGCGCAGAUAUCAGGAGGAACACCGGUGGCGAAGGCGGGUCUCUGGGCCGUAACUGACGCUGAGGAGCGAAAGCGUGGGGAGCGAACAGG
rnacentral:rRNA from 1 species